rnacentral:rRNA from 1 species
CCUACGGGAGGCAGCAGUGGGGAAUUUUCCGCAAUGGGCGAAAGCCUGACGGAGCAAUACCGCGUGAGGGAAGAAUGCCUACGGGUUGUAAACCUCUUUUAUCAGGGAGGAACAAAAUGACGUGUACCUGAUGAAUAAGCAUCGGCUAACUCUGUGCCAGCAGCCGCGGUAAGACAGAGGAUGCAAGUGUUAUCCGGAAUUACUGGGCGUAAAGCGUCUGUAGGUUGUUGAACAAGUCAACUGUUAAAUCUUGAAGCUCAACUUCAAAAUCGCAGUCGAAACUGUUUGACUAGAGUAUAGUAGAGGUAAAGGGAAUUUCCAGUGGAGCGGUGAAAUGCGUAGAUAUUGGAAAGAACACCGAUGGCGAAAGCACUUUACUGGGCUAUUACUGACACUCAGAGACGACAGCUAGGGUAGCAAAUGGGAUUAGAUACCCCAGUAGUCCUAGCCGUAAACUAUGGAUACUAGAUGUUGAACAGAUCGACCUGUGCAGUAUUAAAAGCUAACGCGUUAAGUAUCCCGCCUGGGAAGUAUGCUCGCAAGAGUGAAACUUAAAUGAAUUGACGNGUGAGAGNGCGACGACGACGACGAGGAGGAGG